GAAAAAAUGAUGAAGAACUUGCAGUUUGUUCUUUCUGGGGAAGAGACAUUCACGUCCACAUCCAUUAGAAAAGACAAAAUGUGAACAAAAAUGAGCAACGAGGAGACCGUGCUGGUGAGGGAAAUAGAUCAAACUCUGGGAGUAAAUGCCAGGAGAGACAAUGAAUGAAUCAAAUCACCAUCUCCAAAAGAUGUAGAAACAGAGCCUCGUUAGAUCAGAAAGGAUCAGCAGCAUGAAACAACCCAUGGGUGACUGCUUCAGUGUGAAGACACAACAGAUGUGGGGUCAACAUUUUCAUCAGGAUAACACCAUUUUGUUCAAUCCAUUGCCUCAUGCCUUCUUCCAUUUGCUGUCUUAUUCUCCCAUCCUGCUAACCUGUACUAUAUAGAUUCAAACAUUUACUAUAGACAUUCAAUAUGAGAUCACAUUAAAGGUAUGAAA